rnacentral:rRNA from 1 species
ACGGAAGGCAGCAGUGAGGAAUAUUGGUCAAUGGACGGAAGUCUGAACCAGCCAUGCCGCGUGCGGGAAUAAGGCCCUAUGGGUCGUAAACCGCUUUUGACGGGAGCAAUAAGGCGUACGUGUACGCCGAUGAGAGUACUCGUCGAAUAAGCAUCGGCUAACUCCGUGCCAGCAGCCGCGGUAAUACGGAGGAUGCAAGCGUUAUCCGGAUUUAUUGGGUUUAAAGGGUGCGUAGGCUGUGCUUCAAGUCAGGGGUGAAAUGCCCAGGCCUAACCCGGGAACUGCCUUUGAUACUGGAGCGCUGGAAUACGGAUGCCGUGGGAGGAAUGAGUAGUGUAGCGGUGAAAUGCAUAGAUAUUACUCAGAACACCGAUUGCGAAGGCAUCUCACGAAUCCGUCAUUGACGCUGAGGCACGAAAGCGUGGGGAUCAAACAGGAUUAGAUACCCUGGUA